rnacentral:rRNA from 1 species
UACGUAGGGGGCAAGCGUUGUCCGGAAUCAUUGGGCGUAAAGAGCGUGUAGGUGGCUCGGUAAGUCCGCUGUGAAAGUCCAGGGCUCAACCCUGGAAUGCCGGUGGAAACUGUCGAGCUAGAGUCCGGAAGAGGCGAGUGGAAUUCCUGGUGUAGCGGUGAAAUGCGCAGAUAUCAGGAGGAACACCAAUGGCGAAGGCAGCUCGCUGGGACGUGACUGACGCUGAGACGCGAAAGCGUGGGGAGCAAACAGG